UACGGAGGGUGCGAGCGUUAUCCGGAAUUACUGGGUUUAAAGGGUGCGUAGGCGGCCAGGUAAGUCAGGGGUGAAAGUUUGCGGCUCAACCGUAAAAUUGCUUUUGAUACUGCCAGGCUAGAAUUAGGAUGAGGUCAGCGGAAUGUGGCAUGUAGCGGUGAAAUGCAUAGAUAUGCCAUAGAACACCAAUUGCGAAGGCAGCUGGCUAGACCUGGAUUGACGCUGAGGCACGAAAGCGUGGGGAGCGAACAGG
rnacentral:rRNA from 1 species